rnacentral:misc_RNA from 1 species
CAAGAAGCGCGAAAGGCUACUUAUAACCAUCGCGAACCAUCAUCAGCGUUGCUUCGGCGGGAGCGCUCGCGGGCCUCCGGGACCGGUCAGUGCACACCUACCCUUCCGGGUGUGGGCAGCCCGCCGGAGGUACGAAAUCUUCUGCAUCUUGUGGUAUACUCUGAGUAAAAAGCAAAUAAGUUA